rnacentral:rRNA from 1 species
AGAGUUUGAUUCUGGCUCAGGAUGAACGCUAGCUACAGGCUUAACACAUGCAAGUCGAGGGGCAUCGAGGGAAGCUUGCUUCCUGUCGGCGACCGGCGCACGGGUGAGUAACGCGUAUCCAACCUUCCCCUUAGUAGGGCAUAGCCCGGCGAAAGUCGGAUUAAUACCCUAUGUUUUCCGAUGAGGACAUCUGAGCCGGAAUAAAGAUUUAUCGCUAAGGGAUGGGGAUGCGUCUGAUUAGGUAGUCGGCGGGGUAACGGCCCACCGAGCCUACGAUCAGUAGGGGUUCUGAGAGGAAGGUCCCCCACAUUGGUACUGAGACACGGACCAAACUCCUACGGGAGGCAGCAGUGAGGAAUAUUGGUCAAUGGGCGAGAGCCUGAACCAGCCAAGUAAGCGUGCAGGAUGACGGCCCUAUGGGUUGUAAACUGCUUUUAUCGGGGGAUAAAGUGAGGGACGCGUCCCUUUUUGUAGGUACCCGAUGAAUAAGGACCGGCUAAUUCCGUGCCAGCAGCGGC